rnacentral:rRNA from 2 species
UUAAAUUGAAGAGUUUGAUCAUGGCUCAGAUUGAACGCUGGCGGCAGGCCUAACACAUGCAAGUCGAACGGUAACAGGAAGCAGCUUGCUGCUUUGCUGACGAGUGGCGGACGGGUGAGUAAUGUCUGGGAAACUGCCUGAUGGAGGGGGAUAACUACUGGAAACGGUGGCUAAUACCGCAUAACGUCGCAAGACCAAAGAGGGGGACCUUCGGGCCUCUUGCCAUCAGAUGUGCCCAGAUGGGAUUAGCUUGUUGGUGAGGUAACGGCUCACCAAGGCGACGAUCCCUAGCUGGUCUGAGAGGAUGACCAGCCACACUGGAACUGAGACACGGUCCAGACUCCUACGGGAGGCAGCAGUGGGGAAUAUUGCACAAUGGGCGCAAGCCUGAUGCAGCCAUGCCGCGUGUAUGAAGAAGGCCUUCGGGUUGUAAAGUACUUUCAGCGGGGAGGAAGGUGUUGUGGUUAAUAACCACAGCAAUUGACGUUACCCGCAGAAGAAGCACCGGCUAACUCCGUGCCAGCAGCCGCGGUAAUACGGAGGGUGCAAGCGUUAAUCGGAAUUACUGGGCGUAAAGCGCACGCAGGCGGUCUGUCAAGUCGGAUGUGAAAUCCCCGGGCUCAACCUGGGAACUGCAUUCGAAACUGGCAGGCUUGAGUCUUGUAGAGGGGGGUAGAAUUCCAGGUGUAGCGGUGAAAUGCGUAGAGAUCUGGAGGAAUACCGGUGGCGAAGGCGGCCCCCUGGACAAAGACUGACGCUCAGGUGCGAAAGCGUGGGGAGCAAACAGGAUUAGAUACCCUGGUAGUCCACGCCGUAAACGAUGUCUACUUGGAGGUUGUGCCCUUGAGGCGUGGCUUCCGGAGCUAACGCGUUAAGUAGACCGCCUGGGGAGUACGGCCGCAAGGUUAAAACUCAAAUGAAUUGACGGGGGCCCGCACAAGCGGUGGAGCAUGUGGUUUAAUUCGAUGCAACGCGAAGAACCUUACCUGGUCUUGACAUCCACAGAACUUUCCAGAGAUGGACUGGUGCCUUCGGGAACUGUGAGACAGGUGCUGCAUGGCUGUCGUCAGCUCGUGUUGUGAAAUGUUGGGUUAAGUCCCGCAACGAGCGCAACCCUUAUCCUUUGUUGCCAGCGAUUAGGUCGGGAACUCAAAGGAGACUGCCAGUGAUAAACUGGAGGAAGGUGGGGAUGACGUCAAGUCAUCAUGGCCCUUACGACCAGGGCUACACACGUGCUACAAUGGCGCAUACAAAGAGAAGCGACCUCGCGAGAGCAAGCGGACCUCAUAAAGUGCGUCGUAGUCCGGAUUGGAGUCUGCAACUCGACUCCAUGAAGUCGGAAUCGCUAGUAAUCGUGGAUCAGAAUGCCACGGUGAAUACGUUCCCGGGCCUUGUACACACCGCCCGUCACACCAUGGGAGUGGGUUGCAAAAGAAGUAGGUAGCUUAACCUUCGGGAGGGCGCUUACCACUUUGUGAUUCAUGACUGGGGUGAAGUCGUAACAAGGUAACCGUAGGGGAACCUGCGGUUGGAUCACCUCCUUACCUUAAAGAAGC